rnacentral:rRNA from 1 species
AAAUUCCAAUCGAACCUGGAGAUAGCUGGUUCUCUCCGAAAUAGCUUUAGGGCUAGCCUCAAGUGAUGAUUAUUGGAGGUAGAGCACUGUUUGGACGAGGGGCCCCUCUCGGGUUACCGAAUUCAGACAAACUCCGAAUGCCAAUUAAUUUAACUUGGGAGUCAGAACAUGGGUGAUAAGGUCCGUGUUCGAAAGGGAAACAGCCCAGACCACCAGCUAAGGUCCCAAAAUAUAUGUUAAGUGGAAAAGGAUGUGGCGUUGCCCAGACAACUAGGAUGUUGGCUUAGAAGCAGCCAUCAUUUAAAGAGUGCGUAAUAGCUCACUAGUCGAGUGACACUGCGCCGAAAAUGUACCGGGGCUAAACAUAUUACCGAAGCUGUGGAUUGUCCUUUGGACAAUGGUAGGAGAGCGUUCUAAGGGCGUUGAAGCAUGAUCGUAAGGACAUGUGGAGCGCUUAGAAGUGAGAAUGCCGGUGUGAGUAGCGAAAGACGGGUGAGAAUCCCGUCCACCGAUUGACUAAGGUUUCCAGAGGAAGGCUCGUCCGCUCUGGGUUAGUCGGGUCCUAAGCUGAGGCCGACAGGCGUAGGCGAUGGAUAACAGGUUGAUAUUCCUGUACCACCUAUA